UUGAUUUAAUUUUGAACGAGUGGCGGACGGGUGAGUAACACGUGGGUAACCUGCCCUUAAGUGGGGGAUAACAUUUGGAAACAGAUGCUAAUACCGCAUAAAUCCAAGAACCGCAUGGUUCUUGGCUGAAAGAUGGCGUAAGCUAUCGCUUUUGGAUGGACCCGCGGCGUAUUAGCUAGUUGGUGAGGUAACGGCUCACCAAGGCAAUGAUACGUAGCCGAACUGAGAGGUUGAUCGGCCACAUUGGGACUGAGACACGGCCCAAACUCCUACGGGAGGCAGCAGUAGGGAAUCUUCCACAAUGGACGCAAGUCUGAUGGAGCAACGCCGCGUGAGUGAAGAAGGCUUUCGGGUCGUAAAACUCUGUUGUUGGAGAAGAAUGGUCGGCAGAGUAACUGUUGUCGGCGUGACGGUAUCCAACCAGAAAGCCACGGCUAACUACGUGCCAGCAGCCGCGGUAAUACGUAGGUGGCAAGCGUUAUCCGGAUUUAUUGGGCGUAAAGCGAGCGCAGGCGGUUUUUUAAGUCUGAUGUGAAAGCCC
rnacentral:rRNA from 2 species